GGAGGGGCUGUGGCUCAGUGGUAGAGUGUCUGGUUUGCAUGCAGAAGGUUCCAGGUUCAAUACCUGGCGCCUCCA